GCGGGAGUGGCGGAACUGGCAGACGCGCUAGACUUAGGAUCUAGUGCCGCAAGGCGUGGAGGUUCGAGUCCUCUCUCCCGCACCA
rnacentral:tRNA from 3 species